GACGUAGGGCGCGAGCGUUGUCCGGAUUUAUUGGGCGUAAAGGGCUCGUAGGCGGUUUGUCGCGUCGGGAGUGAAAACACACAGCUUAACUGUGUGCUUGCUUCCGAUACGGGCAGACUAGAGGUAUGCAGGGGAGAACGGAAUUCCUGGUGUAGCGGUGAAAUGCGUAGAUAUCAAGAGGAACACCUGAGGCGAAGGCGGGUUGCUAGGCUGACACUGACGCUGAGUGCGCGAAAGCCAGGGGAGCAAACGGG
rnacentral:rRNA from 1 species